UACGUAGGGGGCAAGCGUUGUCCGGAUUUAUUGGGCGUAAAGAGCGUGUAGGCGGCCAUGUAGGUCCGUUGUGAAAACUCGAGGCUCAACCUCGAGACGUCGAUGGAAACCAUCUAGCUAGAGUCCGGAAGAGGAGAGUGGAAUUCCUGGUGUAGCGGUGAAAUGCGCAGAUAUCAGGAGGAACACCGGUGGCGAAGGCGGGUCUCUGGGCCGAUACUGACGCUGAGGAGCGAAAGCGUGGGGAGCGAACAGG
rnacentral:rRNA from 1 species